rnacentral:lncRNA from 1 species
GCGGUCCUACAUUUAAAAGCAUAAAAAAAUUUGAAGUGGAUUGUGUCAGAGAAACUCCUAUCGGACGAGCAACUAGCGUAGCUGCCAACUGCUCAACUUGGGCACAACCUCUACUUCGGCCCGAACCUCCUUGGUUGGAGCCACCGACGUUGCUGCGGCAGCUCCCUCUCUCACCGCCCCUUCUGCAGAUGGCAUAGUGGGAAGUGCUGUCGGAGCUGACAGC